GAUCCUGGCUCAGGAUGAACGCUAGCGGCAGGCUUAACACAUGCAAGUCGAGGGGCAGCGGGGAGUAGCAAUACUCCGCCGGCGACCGGCGCACGGGUGCGUAACGCGUAUGCAACCUACCUUUAACAGGGGCAUAACACUGAGAAAUUGGUACUAAUUCCCCAUAACAUUCGAGAAGGCAUCUUCUUGGGUUAAAAACUCCGGUGGUUAAAGGUGGGCAUGCGUUGUAUUAGCUAGUUGGUGAGGUAACGGCUC
rnacentral:rRNA from 1 species